rnacentral:rRNA from 1 species
CCUACGGGUGGCAGCAGUGAGGAAUAUUGGUCAAUGGACGAUAGUCUGAACCAGCCAAGUAGCGUGAAGGAUGACUGCCCUAUGGGUUGUAAACUUCUUUUAUAUGGGAAUAAAAUGUUCCACGUGUGGGAUUUUGUAUGUACCAUAUGAAUAAGGAUCGGCUAACUCCGUGCCAGCAGCCGCGGUAAUACGGAGGAUCCGAGCGUUAUCCGGAUUUAUUGGGUUUAAAGGGAGCGUAGGUGGAUUGUUAAGUCAGUUGUGAAAGUUUGCGGCUCAACCGUAAAAUUGCAGUUGAAACUGGCAGUCUUGAGUACAGUAGAGGUGGGCGGAAUUCGUGGUGUAGCGGUGAAAUGCUUAGAUAUCACGAAGAACUCCGAUUGCGAAGGCAGUUCACUGGACUGCAACUGACACUGAGGCUCGAAAGUGUGGGUAUCAAACAGGAUUAGAUACCCCUAUAGUC